rnacentral:rRNA from 1 species
GAUGAACGCUGGCGGCGUGCUUAACACAUGCAAGUCGAACGAUGAAGCCCAGCUUGCUGGGUGGAUUAGUGGCGAACGGGUGAGUAACACGUGAGUAACCUGCCCUUAACUCUGGGAUAAGCCUGGGAAACUGGGUCUAAUACCGGAUAGGAGCGUCCACCGCAUGGUGGGUGUUGGAAAGAUUUAUCGGUUUUGGAUGGACUCGCGGCCUAUCAGCUUGUUGGUGAGGCAAUGGCUCACCAAGGCGACGACGGGUAGCCGGCCUGAGAGGGUGACCGGCCACACUGGGACUGAGACACGGCCCAGACUCCUACGGGAGGCAGCAGUGGGGAAUAUUGCACAAUGGGCGCAAGCCUGAUGCAGCGACGCCGCGUGAGGGAUGACGGCCUUCGGGUUGUAAACCUCUUUCAGUAGGGAAGAAGCGAAAGUGACGGUACCUGCAGAAGAAGCACCGGCUAACUACGUG